GAGCAGUGAGAUGCUUCUCUCUCUCUGUUUUCCUUUCUACCUCAGACACUGGACAGGAGAACAGGAACAGGAACACAGAUGGGAACCAGGAUCUCAGGGACAGGUGCCAGGAACAGGAACACAACAGGAAUUGGACCUCAGGAACUUCGGUGACAGUCUGACCAUUGGAGCCAACAAGCCAGAAGGAAGAAGAGCACAGGAGAGGGGAACAUAUGAGCUGAACCAACGUAAGAAGCCCGAAAGAGCCCAAAGGCACAUCUGAGUCUCAUUGAGGGGGAGCCAAUCCUGUAUUUAAACAUAAAAUUUCCUGUGAAUUUCAUGUAAAAUUUCCUGUGAAUGGCAUCUCAUUUUGGCAUCUCAUAUGGGUGGAGCUUCGUUUGUGGGCAGGGCUUUGAAGAGUUCAGCUUCACUUUUUUUUUUUUUUUUCAAAUUGACCCCUGUUCUCAAUACAUCGUCUGUUUCUCUACACAGUGAUCACUCACCUUGUCAUGUCCUACUUCUCAAACUGUGCAACAGCACCUGUGAAAAUGUGAUAGUCAAAGAGUUUAACUUAAAAAGCUAUUUGAUCAAUUACAUUGUGGAGACCCUAUAUUUCCAAAGCAAAUGUACUGAAAAAGCUUUUAGAUUCUCAGAUUGAAACAAAGGGGGUUGGGAUCUUUAAAUAUUAUGGACCAAUUUUUCAAUAAUAGCCUCUCAAUGUAUGAACCCAAAUUUUUCCAUGUGCAGUGCCAGGCACUGGAACUUUUAUACCUGCAAACUAAGUAUCUGGACAUUUAACUAUUUGACUUUGUCACAUGGAAAACUGAGUUUGUGACUGUCUAAACAUAUGUGCCAUCAAAAGUGCAUUCUCUUUUAUGGAGACUGCAAAAUCAGAGGCUUGGCUGAAACCACUUGGAAAAUAUUACCCAGAGGUAUCCUUUCCAUCUUUGGUUUCUUUAAACAUGUAAUAGCAAAGGAGACAGAUGUACAUGUGGUUCUGGUAUAUUUCCCCAAGGAAUGAUCUGAUUCACUUGUAUGUGUGUGGAAAUAUAUUGUUGUCCUUUUAGUAUGUUUUCCUUGAAGUCCUGAUUGAUGUGCUACUUAGGUAUAUUUUUCUCAUAAUGAAGCUUGGCAGCUGAUCGUGAAUAUUAAUCUCUGCAUACCCUGCUUUUGAUAGUCACCUUUUUCAUUCUAAUAACACUUUCAUUGAAGUCACUUUUUCAUAAACAUUUUCCCCAUAAACCUCUAUUUAAAAAGAGAUUAUUCAAACAGCUUUUAAACAAUUAGUCUUUUGAGGGGUUUAAUUGGAGAAAAUAAACCUGUAGAGAAUCUAACUGCACCAAAGAUCUCCAGCAUCCAAGAUUAUCUAUCUGUCACCUUGUGACCUAUUUCCUUCACACUACCUUUUAAUUUUUGUAGCAAUUAUAGUGUAUAUGGAUAAUACCUAUUAGCAUAUUUAUGGUCAUUGCUUCAUAUUUAUUGUCUGCACAACUCAUUAAUCUUCAUCUAGUGUGUGGGGCUGACAGCUCAAUCUAUUUUGCAAUCUCUGGGCAGCAGCCAUAUCCAAAAAGCCUUUGUUUCUCUGUAAAUAAACUGUGUUCAGGAGCAGAGGACAAUGGUGCAUCAUACAGUGAUUGACACAAGCCAUGGCUGCUAAUCAAAAGUAGAUUUUAUUACCAGCUGAGUCAAGUGCAUUAUGGGGCCAUUGUUCUAGUGCUGUCAGGGCAAGAGCAUACGUAGUCAGUCACCUUCUCAAGAUGGGUUGAUUGUUCUCCAAGAUUAGACAGAGUUGCCUUAUUAUCCAUCCUAGACAACAAGGCAUCUCACCCAAACAGACGCCUUUGCAGAAACUGCCUGUACGUUGAAUUGAUUUGAAUUGCUAAUGCGUAAUCUGUCCGGCACAGAUGUGCAAUGAAUAUUUGGAUGUUGUUUUGCAUGUCAGUUGAGAAGGCUGAAUGAUGAGGUGAUGAUUAUUCAAUGAUCGGUACUGGACAUUCGCCAAUAGUUGAGUUUGAGCACUCACACUGACAGUAAUCAGAUCAGCUUCCAAAGUCUCUUUUCUUCAUUUUGGUGACAAUUUAUGUUAGAAGAUAAUACAACUCUCUCAUAGUUAACAGAGUUGGCAGUAAUUUGCACUUUUUCAAAUAAUUAAAUUUUUCACUUUACCCAAGAUAAGAAAGAUAUAAGCCAUAUGCAGCUGAGGUACAUAUUCCUAGACACUUGUAGAGCACUCCAUUUGAAAUGGUAAUAGAAAGCUGUUUUGAGAAGUCCAAAAAUACAUUUUCAUUCUUUUUUCACAAACAUAGAUGGCACAUAUUUUGUUAGUUACAAAACUGUAUACUUUUAAAGAUGCAGAUGUAUUGGGAGAAGGUAGGAAGCUUGUUAUCAAAACAUACUAGAAAAGUAAUCCAAAAUGACAAAAUACUAAUAAUAGUUGUUAAAAAUAUGAAUAUGGCACUGUGCCUGAGCGAAAAGGUUAAAAGUGUGCCUUCUGGACUGGUGUGAUACAAAUAGUGCUCUGUGAUUUUCAUUUCUGUUCUUAUCACAUCACCACUAAAACCAACAUUACACAAGAAUGAAAGCAGAUACUUUAGAAUGAUUCAUACCUGAAAAGCAGGAAAACAAUGUACAUUUAGAAUACAAUAGCUUAGUGGCUACUUCUAGGCUAUCGUCAGAAACUCUGAGAUUGAUGUAGACAUCUCUGUUUUUUCAAGAGACACUGCAAACUUUAUUCUUGCUCUCAGAUACGUUUUGCAUUAGAUCUGUAUUCACAAAUUUGCACAUAAUGCACCUGACUGACAGGGCAUAGCUAGCACCUCCAUCUGCUCAGGAUCCUCAGCAGUGAACCCUUUCCAGCAGUUAGGCACCUAAGCCAGGUCAGAUGUUUAGUUAGCCUGUGCCCUAGCAGCUGGAACCAUUUUGUGCAUUCUCUUUCUCUGACUCCAGAUCAUACUCAGUACCUCUCUCAUGCUUUACUCUACAUUUCCCUCUUUUGUGUGGAUGCUGUGCUGCCCUCUCCCACCUAUGGGAGGCUUGCAUCUGGUCCUCCUGCUGCAGGGUCUGACUGGUAUCAGGUUAUAGGUAUGAUCAGAACUUGAUAGGCAUUCCUCCCACCCCAGAUUUGAAAAUCCUACUUCAGGGCCUCCAGGUCUUUGGUUUGAGCUAGGGCUCCAAGCCAAUCAUAAGCUUUGGGCCACGUCAGUGCUUUGGCAGCUUUGAGAAUGCCAACUGGCAGAAACAUAGGCACCUAAAGGACGUAAGUGUCUAGGGGAUUCGGUGGCACUUGAACAGUGGUUUUGAAAAUGUCAGUAGUGCCUAAAUGGUGGACUUAAUACAUCAGAGGAUCUGGACCUUAACUCCCAAGCAGUGUCUCAAGCACAAGACCAUUAUUCGCCCCUUAAAACUUCCUCCCUUAAAACUAAAACUUUUAUUUGCCAAAGUAUUUACUAUAUCUUUGCUUUAGUUGCUUACAAAUAAAUGCAAACAGUAAUGUGUCUUUAUUUUGAGGUCCAAAUCUAAAGGUAAGGAGAACUAGGAAUGCUCACAAACCUGAUAUGCAUUUGAAUAGAAAACAAUAUUGCACUGUAUCCUGUCAAAGGAACAUCUAGAUACUAAUAGGGGGGAAACUUGUAAAACUAUAAUCUGCUGAUUGAAAGUUCCAUUUGGUCACUGUAUUAUACCCUUCCCACAUAUGAAAGUCUCUUAACUAAACUUCCAGCUUUAAGUGAUAUGCACGCUUAUAGCCAGAAUAUUUGAAAGAAAAAAUGUAUUAGUCGGUUCCUGGAAUCUGCAGGAACAGACAAGAGUGAAACAAUGACAUUAUGAUAAUAAAUCCUUCAGGAACCUAGAGGGCAAGCUCAUGAAGCCAGAAGAUUACAUAUAUAAGCAGCUAAUUGGUUGUAGCUCUCCCCCAAGAUAUUAUAAAGUUUUAUCUUCAAGAAAUGUGGUGGAAAUAAAUAUAAACGGUGAAGAAACUGAAUUAAUAGGUAAAUUAUUACUUACUUGUAAGAGUGCUGAGAUCCUUGCUGCUAUUCAAAUAUAAUCAGAAUUGCUUAUUGAAUGGAACGCACUGCCAAAUAUGCUAAUUGUGAACGUUACAUAACUAUUUGCAAUUAUAACAGCCUUUAAAACCAGAGUUCAUUAGUUCACAGACACUGGAUGAGUAACCCAAGGAUAUGGCACAAUGUAACAAAGAGUAGGAAUUUGAAAGGGAAGUGUGACUCUCUAGCAAAGGCAUUAGGGUGUUGGUACUAGUGUACAUCAGGCUUAGGGGUGUUCAGAAAUCAUUUCAAUUGAGUUAUGUGCCUAGGCACUUUUGAAAAUUUGCAAGAUGCAUAUUUACAUCUUUAGGCAUCUCAGUAUCUGGUCCUUAGUCUCUCUAGCCCAGAUUUGUAAAGGUAUUUAGGCAUUGCUCUACUCAGUGUGGCAAGGCCAAAUGACCAGAUCCUCAAAGGUAUUUAGGUGCCUAUCUGCCUUAUUAGACACUUAAGUCAAUCAUUAGGCACUGUGGACAUUCGAAACUGCUGCUCAGCUGCCUCCUAACCCCACAGGUGUCUAAAUCCCCUAGGUGCCUGAGAUUCUGCCAGUCAGCGCUUGCAAAGGAGCCUAAGCCCUGAUCCCACCGCACAGCUAAUGAGCAACUCAGAGCCACAGCUCAAGCCAAAGCCCACAGGCCCUGAAGUGGGAUUUUCAACUAGAUGGAGGAAUGCCUAGCUCGUCAGAGGGGCCCAAUCCUGUAAGUGUGCUCUGAGCCUACCUAUAACCUAAUACCUGUCAUAACCUAAUACCUGUCAGACCCCCGCAGCAGGAGGGUCAGAUGCAGCCCACCAAUAGGAGGAGGGGCAGCACAGCACCUGCACAAAAAACAGCUGGGGCCACAGGGAAAUGUAAGACAAGUGUGAGAGAGAUAUUGAGUCAGAGCAGGUGACAGAGGAGAACAGAUGGUUUUGGCUGCCAGGGCAUGGGCUGCCUGAGUGUCUGACCUGAUCUAGGUCACUGAAGCUGGUGGGUGUAAUCACUGCUCUUCAUUCAGGGUAAAUGUAAAAAAUCAUUUAAGCGCCUUAAUGGAAUAGAGAGCUGAAACAAUAGGAGCUAUCGCCGGUGAUGAGCUGCCAAAAUCUUAACAACCGGUUCCCUCUUCACCCCAUGAGGGGGUCGUGGCCCACUCCCACCCCCUGGGGGACUCCUGCCCCAUCCAACCCCCCGGGUUCCUUGACGCCCCCCCGACCCCUGCCCCAUCUACCCUGCUCCCCUGUCCCCUGACUGCCCCCAGAACUGGGCAGGAGGGUCUCAUGGGCCACCAUAGUGGGUACCCCCCCUGCCCCUAAGAGCCAGAGGGACCUGCCGGGGGGCGAGGUGGGGAGUCCCGGUGGGCCUUACCUGGGGCAGCUCCGAGGAAGCAUCCGGCAGGUCCCUCUGGCUCCUAGGGGUGGGGGAGCGUAGCUAGGCGGGGAGCAGAUCACAUCAAUCACAUCAAAAGUGGUGCCUUAGGCGCCGACUCUGUGGGUGCUCCAGGGCUGGAGCACCCACGGGGAAAAUUUGGUGGGUUCAGAGCACCCACCGGCAGCUCUGCACUCGGCCCCAGCUCACCUCACCUCUGCUCCGCCUCUGCCUCCUCCCCUGAAUGCGCCGCCCCGCUCUGCUUCUCCAACCCCCCCAAAUUUCCCGCGAAUCAGCUGUUCGUGCAGGAAGCUGGGGAGGGCUGAGAAGCAGGCGGCGGCUUCGUGCUCAGGCCCAGGGAGGCGGAGGUGAGCUGCGGUGUGGAGCGGUUCCCCUGCACACCCCCCACCCCCGAGUUACCUGCUGUGGUGCGGGUGGCCAUCCUUGGCCCACCCCCCCCGACCCAACUCACCUCCGCUCCACCUCUGCCUCCUUGGGCCUGAGCACGAAGCCACCGCCUGCUUCUCAGCCCCCCGCCCCGCCCUCCCCCCAGCUUCCCAUGCGAACAGCUGGUUCGCAGGAAGCUGGGGCUGGGCAGAGAAGCAGAGCGGGGCGGCGCGUUCAGGGGAGGAGACGGAGGUGGAGCGGAGCAGAGGUGAACUGGGGCCAGGUGCGGGGCGGGGCACCGCAGGUGGGUGCUCUGCACCCAUCAAAUUUUCCCCGUGGUGCUCCAGCCUAAGGCACCACUUUUGGUCGGUUGUCAAAUUUAGAAGCCCUUUUAGAACCAGUUGUCCUUUGCGGGACAACCGGUUCUAAAAGGGCUUCUAAAUUUAACUGGUUCUAGCGAACCGGUGCAAACCGGCUCCAGCUCACCACUGGUUAUCACCCAAAACACAGACCAUGCAGGACUAGUCAGGUAUCUGAGCUAUGUGGGUGGAAGAGGUCUCACUUGGAAAUGAAUGCAAACACAGGGGGCUGGAUAUUUUACAUUAUGUAAGCGGGGGAAUAGUCCCGCUAUUGUGGGGAACUUUCCUGGCUUCUGCACUACCCCGGUGAAGUGGGCUAGCAAAAGGAUCUGAGUCCUCGCUCCCACUUCCUUUACCCAGUGGCCUCCCUGCCCUUGAGGACUCCCCUUCCACUCUCCUGUCUGGCAGAGUCCUCGUAACGCCAACAAAGCUGGGCCCAGGAUUCCUGGGGGGCUCGACCCCCAACCCUGCUGU